AGCGGAGGAAAAGAAACUAACAAGGAUUCCCCUAGUAACGGCGAGUGAACCGGGAAGAGCUCAAAUUUGAAAUCUGGCGUCCUCAGGGCGUCCGAGUUGUAAUCUAUAGAGGCGUUUUCCGUGCCGGACCGUGUCCAAGUUCCUUGGAACAGGAUAUCAAAGAGGGUGACAAUCCCGUACUUGACACGACGACCGGUGCUCUGUGAUACGUCUUCUACGAGUCGAGUUGUUUGGGAAUGCAGCUCAAAAUGGGUGGUGAGUUCCAUCUAAAGCUAAAUAUUGGCGAGAGACCGAUAGCGAACAAGUACCGUGAGGGAAAGAUGAAAAGCACUUUGGAAAGAGAGUUAAACAGUACGUGAAAUUGUUGAAAGGGAAACGAUUGAAGUCAGUCGUGACCGAGAGGCUCAGCCGGUUCUGCCGGUGUAUUCCCCUCGGUCGGGUCAACAUCAGUUUUGUCCGGUGGAUAAGGGCGGUAGGAAGGUGGCACCCUCGGGUGUGUUAUAGCCUGCCGUCGCAUACAUCGGGUGAGACUGAGGAACGCAGCUCGCCUUUAUGGCCGGGGUUCGCCCACGUCCGAGCUUAGGAUGUUGACAUAAUGGCUUUAAACGACCCGUCUUG
rnacentral:rRNA from 1 species